rnacentral:rRNA from 1 species
CACGGAUAACAUACCGAAAGGUAUGCUAAUACGGGAUAAUAUAUUUGAGAGGCAUCUCUUAAAUAUCAAAGGUGAGCCAGUACAGGAUGGACCCGCGUCUGAUUAGCUAGUUGGUAAGGUAACGGCUUACCAAGGCGACGAUCAGUAGCCGACCUGAGAGGGUGAUCGGCCACAUUGGAACUGAGACACGGUCCAAACUCCUACGGGAGGCAGCAGUGGGGAAUAUUGCACAAUGGGCGAAAGCCUGAUGCAGCAACGCCGCGUGAGUGAUGAAGGCCUUCGGGUCGUAAAACUCUGUCCUCAAGGAAGAUAAUGACGGUACUUGAGGAGGAAGCCCCGGCUAACUACGUGCCAGCAGCCGCGGUAAUACGUAGGGGGCUAGCGUUAUCCGGAUUUACUGGGCGUAAAGGGUGCGUAGGCGGUCUUUCAAGUCAGGAGUGAAAGGCUACGGCUCAACCGUAGUAAGCUCUUGAAACUGGGAGACUUGAGUGCAGGAGAGGAGAGUGGAAUUCCUAGUGUAGCGGUGAAAUGCGUAGAUAUUAGGAGGAACACCAGUUGCGAAGGCGGCUCUCUGGACUGUAACUGACGCUGAGGCACGAAAGCGCGGGGAGCAAACAGGAUUAGAUACCCUGGUAGUCCACGCUGUAAACGAUGAGUACUAGGUGUCGGGGGUUACCCCCUUCGGUGCCGCAGCUAACG